UACGGAGGGUGCGAGCGUUGUCCGGAAUCACUGGGCGUAAAGGGCGCGUAGGCGGCUAUGUAAGUCACCUGUGAAAUUCCGGGGCUCAACUCCGGGGCGGCAGGUGAGACUGCAUAGCUGGAGCUCGGUAGAGGCGAGUGGAAUUCCCGGUGUAGCGGUGGAAUGCGUAGAUAUCGGGAGGAACACCAGUCGGCGGAAAGCGGCUACCUGGCCCGACAUUGACGCUGACUGGAGCGAAAAGCUGAGGGGA
rnacentral:rRNA from 1 species